GCGAAAUUUUACGAUUUUAUCCUCCGAAAUCAGAAGGCAUAGCUACUGGUUGCUGUUGGCGGAGUGGUUGCUGUACUUUUUAGUUUUGUUCACAAGCCAGAUGUGUUAUUUUUUAUUAGCUAAUGUCCAGAUCAGAUGCCAUUGAAGACGAAGCAUUGCGAGAACUUGAUUGCGUGAGUAUUAAUGGUUUAUGCUGGAAGACAGCAUGAAACUGGCAAGCGAACUUCGCGGCGUUUUAGGAGAAACAUUCCAAUGAAUCUCCAGGAAGUAGUUUUGGCUCUUAGUAAUUUGGAAAAAGAAGCACACCUGGGAAAAAUGUUCGGCAAUCAGGCUGUCGUAGAAACCGCAGACCGGUAUGGAAUAUCGAAAUCCGGCGACCUGCCACCGGAUUUUGCCGGAUUCUCAGUGGAUUGCUCGUCGAGAACCCGAUAAUUGGCACGGAAUCAACACACAACGAUGAUUGCCGCAGCGCAGGAAAAGCACUUGAUCUAGAACGCGGGCUUACGCUAGAUGAAAACCUGCAGUCAGAUUUCAUGCUGUAACCAAGAAGUCAUUCGUCCUGCCCCAUGUUACUCGAUUUAACCAUUUUAAUAAUAUACAACUUUCUUUUAUGGAGGUGAAUAAUUUCUACGGGACCUCAGUGGUCUUUCGGUUUUGGAGCCUAACAAAAGCAUCAGAUUCGUAAACGAGGAGAUACUUAAGGUGUUACCGCGUUGGAACUUGGCAUAAGAACGAAAAAACCUUUUCCAUUCGGUGCCGGCCUUAAUUUUGCAAGCUACCCGAUUCCGGUCCGAUGAGACGCCGACACUGGAGUAAGACCUGUCUCGUUUUUGGACAAAACAAAUAGCUCCUGAAUAAUUCGCGCCACGGCUUUUGACUUCGGUUUGUUUUGAUUCAAGACCACCCAUUUCAUCAUAUCAACCAAAAAAACCGAAAGACUACAUAAUUGCACUUCCCUGUUGGAUUCAUAUUGGAGGGUGGUAUUGCGAUACCGUACUAUUCGGAGCGCCUUCUUUCAUGGGGUUAGGAAUUAUUUUGAUCACGUGUCAGAGUCGUUGGUUGCGAAUUUGUCCACGGUCACGGAUCAGCGCGAAUUUGGUUUUGCCAGCGUUUGGUUGGGCUUGCGAAAUGAAAGAUGUAAUGGAGAUUUUAUACAUAUCUUCGGCUACGCAUUGGCAUUUGGCUCGAAAUUUUGGACUGAAGGAUUGUUCUGGAAUGGCUUCUUUGACGACCAUUAAACAGGUUGCCGAAUCCAGUUGGUCACCGGGAGAGCAUCGAAAUCGACUGGAAAUGAAGGCUGAUCGGUCUUUAGUCCACUGACCAUCGAAAGGGGAAUUCACUGCAAAGCUGUCUUUUGAGUUUUAUAGUACAAAUACUUCUGUAUCCCGGAGCGAUGUUGCUCCCGUUUUUGGAAACUUGAUAAAUUAUAAAGGCCAGACUUUUCGAGUCACAAAAUGUUUCGCGG